AGUGAGAAGUAACUAGUCUUAACUAUUGACUGAUCUUUUAGGUUAGUCAUGUCCAUGAGUUGAGCCUAAAUAGCUCUUCGAGGACCAAGUGGAGGGCAAGUCUGGUGCCAGCAGCCGCGUAAUUCCAGCUCCACUAGCGUAAAAUAUUACUGCUGCGGUUAAAAAGCUCGUAGUUGAAAUCUAGUCGUGUCCGUUGGGUUUGUCGUUGGCGUUUAUUCGUCUCUGGCGUUAAUUUUUGCUGGUUUGCUGUUGGUCUUCGGAUCUUCGGUGGCUAGCGAGUUACUUUGAUCAAAUCAGAGUGCUCAAAACAGGGAAAGUUGUAUGAUUUCUCGAGGAAUAACAGAAGAGGACUUCGGUUCUAUUUGUUGGUUCCAGAAUCGUUUAAUGGUUAAGAGGGACAAUUCGGGGGCAAACGUAUCCUCGCGCGAGGGGUGAAAUCCGUAGACCGUGAGAGACGACCAAUAGCGAAAGCUUUGCCAAGAAUGUCUCCAUUAAUCAAGAAC
rnacentral:rRNA from 1 species